CCUGGCUCAGGAUGAACGCUGGCGGCGUGCCUAAUACAUGCAAGUCGAGCGAGAAAUGUCCGAUUGAAACUUCGGUAGAUUUCGGGCAUGGAAAGCGGCGGACGGGUGAGUAACGCGUAGGCAACCUGCCCCUUGCACAGGGAUAGCCACUGGAAACGGUGAUUAAUACCUGAUAAUGCAUUCCUAUCGCCUGUUAGGGAUGCCAAAGAUUUAUUGGCAAGGGAUGGGCCUGCGUCUGAUUAGCUUGUUGGUGGGGUAACGGCUCACCAAGGCGACGAUCAGUAGCCGACCUGAGAGGGUGAUCGGCCACAUUGGAACUGAGACACGGUCCAAACUCCUACGGGAGGCAGCAGUAGGGAAUCUUGCACAAUGGGCGAAAGCCUGAUGCAGCAACGCCGCGUGAGCGAUGAAGGCCCUUGGGUCGUAAAGCUCUGUCCUAUGGGAAGAAACAAAUGACGGUACCAUUGGAGGAAGCCCCGGCUAACUACGUGCC
rnacentral:rRNA from 1 species